rnacentral:lncRNA from 1 species
CUGUCAAUUCAUCACAAGAGUCAUCCUCUUCCUGACCAGGGUUGACAGGGAACUGAAAUUGCAGAAAGCAAAACCAUGGACAAGAGGGAAGUACUGUACGUCAUAUGUCCAAAAGGGACAUUGCAGAUAUGAUUGAGACCAUGGAAGUUGUGUACCCAAGCAAUUCCUAUUUGUCACUGGAAGACCAACCCCUAUGUGUCACUCAUCUCCUAACAUGGUUAGUAAUUGCUCCCUGCUCUGGGUUGCCAUAACAUUGGGCUUAAAAUCCUACAAUAGUGCAUGCUAUUUUUUUA